GACGAACGCUGGCGGCGUGCUUAACACAUGCAAGUCGAACGGAAAGGCCCCUUUGGGGGUACUCGAGUGGCGAACGGGUGAGUAACACGUGCGUAACCUGCCCUUGACUUCGGGAUAACUUCAGGAAACUGGGGCUAAUACCGGAUAGGAAUCCUUGCUGCAUGGUGGGGGUUGGAAAGCUUCGGCGGUUUUGGAUGGACUCGCGGCUUAUCAGCUUGUUGGUGGGGUAGUGGCUUACCAAGGCUUUGACGGGUAGCCGGCCUGAGAGGGCGACCGGCCACAUUGGGACUGAGAUACGGCCCAGACUCCUACGGGAGGCAGCAGUGGGGAAUAUUGCACAAUGGGCGGAAGCCUGAUGCAGCAACGCCGCGUGCGGGAUGACGGCCUUCGGGUUGUAAACCGCGUUCAGCAGGGGCGAAGCUUGUGGUGACGGUACCUGCAGAAGAAGCACCGGCUAACUACGUG
rnacentral:rRNA from 1 species